GACGAACGCUGGCGGCGUGCUUAACACAUGCAAGUCGAACGAUGAAGCCUUUCGGGGUGGAUUAGUGGCGAACGGGUGAGUAACACGUGGGCAAUCUGCCCUGUACUUUGGGAUAAGCCUUGGAAACGGGGUCUAAUACCGGAUACUCACUUACCCUCCGCAUGGGGGUUUGUUGAAAGUUCUGGCGGUACAGGAUGAGCCCGCGGCCGUAUCAGCUUGUUGGUGGGGUAGUGGCCUACCAAGGCGACGACGGGUAGCCGGCCUGAGAGGGUGACCGGCCACACUGGGACUGAGACACGGCCCAGACUCCUACGGGAGGCAGCAGUGGGAAUAUUGCACAAUGGGCGAAAGCCUGAUGCAGCGACGCCGCGUGAGGGAUGAC
rnacentral:rRNA from 1 species